UGUUGGAUAGGUCAGUUGGUAGGAGCAUGAGACUUAAUCUCAGGGCCGUGGGUUCAAGCACCAUACUGGGCAA